rnacentral:misc_RNA from 1 species
UCCCUGUUGCCAGGGCAGUCUAGCUAGAAAAAUUCAACUAACUAUAAGGGUUGCGCUCGUUGAUGGACUUAACCAAACAUCUCACGACACGAGCUGAAGACGGCCAUGCAACACCUGUCACUUGGUUCCCGAAGGCACACUCUGCUUUCGCAGAACUUCCAAGGAAGUCAAGUCUGGGUAAGGUUCUUCGCUUAUCCUCGAAUUAAACAACACGCUCCACCGCUUGUGCGGGUCCCCGUCAAUUCCUUUAUGUUUUAGUCUUGCGACCGUACUCCACAGGCGGGAUGCUUAACGCGUUAGCUUCGCUACUAGAAGGGUCGAUACUUCUAACAGCUAGCAUCCAUAGUUUACGGCGUGGACUAC